rnacentral:rRNA from 1 species
AGAGUUUGAUCAUGGCUCAGGACGAACGCUGGCGGCGUGCCUAAUACAUGCAAGUAGAACGCUGAAGAGAGGAGCUUGCUCUUCUUGGAUGAGUUGCGAACGGGUGAGUAACGCGUAGGUAACCUGCCUUGUAGCGGGGGAUAACUAUUGGAAACGAUAGCUAAUACCGCAUGACAAUGGAUGACCCAUGUCAUUUAUUUGAAAGGGGCAAAUGCUCCACUACAAGAUGGACCUGCGUUGUAUUAGCUAGUAGGUGAGGUAACGGCUCACCUAGGCGACGAUACAUAGCCGACCUGAGAGGGUGAUCGGCCACACUGGGACUGAGACACGGCCCAGACUCCUACGGGAGGCAGCAGUAGGGAAUCUUCGGCAAUGGGGGCAACCCUGACCGAGCAACGCCGCGUGAGUGAAGAAGGUUUUCGGAUCGUAAAGCUCUGUUGUAAGUCAAGAACGAGUGUGAGAGUGGAAAGUUCUCACUGUGACGGUAGCUUACCAGAAAGGGACGGCUAACUACGUGCCAGCAGCCGCGGUAAUACGUAGGUCCCGAGCGUUGUCCGGAUUUAUUGGGCGUAAAGCGAGCGCAGGCGGUUUGAUAAGUCUGAAGUUAAAGGCUGUGGCUCAACCAUAGUUCGCUUUGGAAACUGUCAAACUUGAGUGCAGAAGGGGAGAGUGGAAUUCCAUGUGUAGCGGUGAAAUGCGUAGAUAUAUGGAGGAACACCGGUGGCGAAAGCGGCUCUCUGGUCUGUAACUGACGCUGAGGCUCGAAAGCGUGGGGAGCGAACAGGAUUAGAUACCCUGGUAGUCCACGCCGUAAACGAUGAGUGCUAGGUGUUGGAUCCUUUCCGGGAUUCAGUGCCGCAGCUAACGCAUUAAGCACUCCGCCUGGGGAGUACGACCGCAAGGUUGAAACUCAAAGGAAUUGACGGGGGCCCGCACAAGCGGUGGAGCAUGUGGUUUAAUUCGAAGCAACGCGAAGAACCUUACCAGGUCUUGACAUCCCGAUGCUAUUUCUAGAGAUAGAAAGUUACUUCGGUACAUCGGUGACAGGUGGUGCAUAGUUGUCGUCAGCUCGUGUCGUGAGAUGUUGGGUUAAGUCCCGCAACGAGCGCAACCCCUAUCUUUAGUAGCCAGCGGUUUGGCCGGGCACUCUAGAGAGACUGCCAGGGAUAACCUGGAGGAAGGUGGGGAUGACGUCAAAUCAUCAUGCCCCUUAUGAGCAGGGCUACACACGUGCUACAAUGGCGUAAACAAAGGGAGGCAGAACCGCGAGGUCGAGCAAAUCCCAAAAAUAACGUCUCAGUUCGGAUUGUAGUCUGCAACUCGACUACAUGAAGCUGGAAUCGCUAGUAAUCGCGAAUCAGCAUGUCGCGGUGAAUACGUUCCCGGGUCUUGUACACACCGCCCGUCACACCAUGGGAGUCAGUAACGCCCGAAGUCAGUGACCCAACCGCAAGGAGGGAGCUGCCGAAGGUGGGACCGAUAACUGGGGCGAAGUCGUAACAAGGUA